CCUACGGGGCGCAGCAGUGGGGGAUAUUGCACAAUGGGGGGAACCCUGAUGCAGCGACGCCGCGUGGGUGAAGGAGCGUUUCGGCGCGUAAAGCCCUAUCGGCAGGGAAGAAGAUGACGGUACCUGACUAAGAAGCCCCGGCUAACUACGUGCCAGCAGCCGCGGGAAUACGUAGGGGGCAAGCGUUAUCCGGAUUUACUGGGGGUAAAGGGAGCGUAGGUGGCAUGGUAAGCCAGA
rnacentral:rRNA from 1 species